AAACAUAAGCCUGUGGGAGACAUUCCUCCUCCAAACCACUAAAGUGUAUGUGAAGGGCUUGAGGUUGAUGUUGGAAUUUUUUUUUCCAUUGCUCUCCAGUUUAUUCCUUUUGAGGCAAUUCCUGUCAGUCAAAGCUAGAGCUCACCAAAAUGGCUAUCCAGCUUCCUCUGGGGAUUUCUUGUUACUACUAUCAGAUAUUGGUAAUAUAAUAAGGUGGGCUGCCAUAUCCAUUCUGCAUUUAUGUAUAUUCUAUUUUCUGAAUUCUGGUCCUCAUGUUUUUGAAACAAGUGUAUAUUUGCUAUAUAUUUGCUAUAUAUCUAGGCUAUAUUUCCAUCCCUUGUCCUUUGGCAUGAAAUUUUAAUAAGAAACUAGUGUGGGGGGGAGAAUGUUUUUGAGGAGACCAUUACAUUUUCCUAAUGGUACAUGUCAUGGCCUAAGAUGCAUUUGAAAUGUAGGUAAAGCUAUUUAUAGUAAUCAAAAUGAGUGUGGAACAUUACUGUUGUUAUUGUGAGGAGGCUAGAGGAAUUCUAAAUAAUGGGUAAUGUAUUGGGAUUCUCCAAGCCACCAUGAAUUAACUUUCUCCAAAUGCCAAUGGCUCCCCUGAUGAUAUAUUUAUGGCUUCCACUGCUUACGUUCUGUGCUUCCCCCAUCCUAAUCAAAUUUGAUUCUACAACCACCAGUCCCUAGAGACUGGUCUUGUCAGGAUGGAUGCUGAUGUGGGUGCAAAAUGUAAAGGCUACUUGUUAGUAUUUAGCCAUGAUUAUAGUCCCUCUUUUGAAGUGUGCUCUUCAUCUUCCAUGAGAUGAGGAGAAACCUCAAUCUUCUAGUUGUCCCUCCAACUCUGUUGUUGUUUUCAGAUGCCUCUAAGGAGCACUUCUUUUUCUUUGCCAAUGUCUUAUUGUGGUAGACGAAUUUGUAAACUGUUAUCAAAUGAGAAACACAGAGCCAAAUAUAGGGGUGAAAGCUGUAGAGAUCAGAGAAAUAGCGAAAGGCCACCAACUAACCUCAGCUCACCAUGUCGCCGUAGCUUCCCAAGAGAACCAGCUUCUUCCUGUCUAACCUGUGCCUUUAUUGCCUUGCUCUUCUGCCUUCUCAUUGGCUCUAAGCCCAGCCACCUCUCUUCCUCAUCACUGCCUGUCUGUACAGACCUCCAGGUCUCUAUGGUUACUAUUGGGAUUAAAGGCAUGUGUCACCACGCUCAGCUGUGUCCUUGAACACACAGAGACUCUGCCCUCUAUGUGAUUGGGAUUAAGGGCGUGUGCCUGACUUCUGUUUAUGGCUGGCUAUGACCUCUGAUCUCCAGGCAAACUUUAUUAACAUGCAAAUAAAAUAUCACCACGUUUCAGCAAAAAUAAAAUAUCACCACAUCUUAUUUCCACGAUUUCAUUUCUAGCUGUCUUAUUACCUCCUUAUUAUCUAUGUAGUUUUUCUUAGACCCCCCCCCCCACUUCAAGUUCAUAUAUAACAUUAAAGUUCAGCAGCACCCCACAUACACUUGCUCUUCCUUUUUCUCUUUUUUCACUUGGGAUAAUGCUUUCAAGUCCCGUUGGACAUCUAUUCCAGGGAAAGGAGGGGGAUGGUAAGGUAUGAGUGGCUUCUGGGGGAAGAUGACCCUUUCAUGCGGCAAUUUAUCGUGUGAGAACUGACUGAGGUGUUAGGAGAAUAUGCAAUAUCUGCCUGAGGAUGGGAGUAAAACACGAAAUCUAGUAAAACCACCCCUUGACGUGAAAACAGUUCAGAGUGGAAACACACGUGGAUUUUGACGGGGAAGGACUGGAGAGAGAUGUUUGAAAAGGUGGGCAGGAAAUAAACCAUAUGAAGCCUUUUUCUGCCAGGCUUAGUAAUUUGCGUUUAAUUCUAUCAGGUCAUAGUCCACCAACUGAUUAUGUUCUGGCUUUCGGGAGUGUUUUGUUAGGUUCAUGCUGUGCUUAAAAUAUGGAACUAAAUAUCAACAUUUAAAAAUCAGAAAUUUUAUUCACUUCUCCUUCUGGCUAAGAUCGAGUGUAAAAUUAGAAACUUUCACUUAAAAAUCAGAACUUUUCCCUACCUCACCCAAAUUUAUGAUCUCAUCUUUAGUUUUAUUGUUAUAUUUAUGUACAUAUAUAUACGCACACGUGUCUACAUAACCUAAUAAGUCUGAAAUUCUCAAAAGGAAGGAAGGAAGGAAGGAAGGAAGGAAGGAAGGAAGGAAGGAAGGAAGGAAGGACAGAAGGAAGAAAGAAAAGCCGGAAAAACUAUUAAAAAACAAACAAACAAUCAAAACAGAACUUCUGGCCUCUCCUGAAGAGCUGGGAGUUCCGAGUACUUUGCUACAUUUUAUAGCCUCUGUAGCUAUUUCUCCGCAGUGAAGAGCAGGGAGUUCCGAGUACUUUGCUACAUUUUCCAGCCUCUGUUGCUGUUUCUCCGCAGCAGUUCCCGGCUGAUCUGCUUUAUUUCUCUGUCACUUACACCACCUGUUCUGCGGCAGUGGGCUUUGGCAAUUGCUAUUUUGGUUUCUGGGCACUGGGGAGCCCUUUAAGACCUCUUAGCGGGAGAGUAAUAUCAGCCAAUAUCUGCAUCAAAAAAGAAGAUGAUUUUGGAAGAAAAACAGAGGUCAAAUUCUGGGAAAUAGAGGGGAAAAAAAAGCUCUAAGGAAAUGAAUAUGAAAAUUCUGUAGCAACAGUAGACAGUGUUUGGGGAAGGGGAGCAAAUUCCUGAUGCCAUUUCUAUCACUGGGUGGAUCAUAGGAAGCAGGGCUGUAGUUUUACUGGGAUGAUGGCUGAAGACAGCCUUGGCUAGGUCAAGGACAGUACAGAUGGACAGGAGGGGCAAGAAAUCAAUUAAGCUUAAUGGUUGAUGGUUGCUGAAACCAGAAAGAGCAUGUCAUCGUUUCUGAGUGGAUGAUGGAUGGCAGGCUCUGAUUUUUUAGAAAGCUUCAUUUUUCACACUGCCUGUGAACGGAUCACUUCUGUACUUGUAUAGAUUUGCAUCUCCUCGUUCAUUAGGUGGACUCGCACACUUGCUAGUAACGAAAACUCACCAUUCCUGAGAAAACGCUGAGAACUGAAUUAAGUGCAAAGUAAAACGGAAGUUGAUGAAGAACUUUGUGCUUGCUAGGAACAUGGCUUUUGAAAAAUGGGCUUGUGAAACUGCUAUGUUGCUUGUUUUAAGAAUGCUGUGCUGAGCCUGUAUCAUGAGGAGAGAGACUCUGACAGAAGGCUCGAUUUCAGAAAUUUCUCCAGGGUGAAUUACCUGAUUUUCACUAACUCACACGAAUUUUCAAAUUAUAAAGCUUUCUGUUUACCCUGAGCAUUCUCCACAUUUUGCUAGUCUUUCCUAAUUUUAUUUUCCCUAUUGUACAUACCUUACCUUUAACUCAUUUUAACACACACACACACACACACACACACACACACACACACACACACACACACAUACACACACACUCUGUAGUUAUUCUAUAUGAGAUUUUGCUUUUGUUUUAAUUUACUUCCAAGUUAAUCCCUUUGAACGUUGUCUUUAUUCACCUUACUUUUAUUAUCGUAAGUAAAAUUAUGUAGCCAUGUCAUUCUUUUAAUGUCUAUUUAGUAACUAUUGUAUCACUACUAGAGUCUAACAAUGUACAAAGUUCUAUGUUUCGUUAAUACUCAAAAAAUGAAAAAAAUGCUAGUAGGGUGUAUAAAUUAUAUUUACUACACACACAUAUAUAUAUAUAUUAAAAUAUGAAUAAAUUGAGAUUAUAAAUAAGAAUGACUUCAGUUUUCUAUAGUAGGAAAACAGGCAAGAUAUUUAUGUCUGGGAAAGUAAAUGAUUUCUACAUUUCCUUUAGCACAGUUAAGCACAAACCUUGGCAUGUAUAAGGCUCUUUCUUUCUCUUGAGACAAGAUCUCUAUGUAGACCGGGCUGGCACAGAGUUCAGCCUACCUCUGCCUCCUGAGUAUUAAAGGCAUCCACCACUAUGUCUGGCUCUCUCUCUCUCUCUCUCUCUCUCUCUCUCUCUCUUUACUUAUUUUUCUAUGUGUGUGUAUGUAUGUAUGUAUGUAUAUCUAUGAAAGUAUGCCACAAAUGUGUUAGGAGGCGGGAGAGGGCAUCAGAUCCCAUGGAUCUACAAUCACAGGGACUUUUGAGCUACCUGACAUGGGUGCUGUGGACUGAAUUCCAGUCCUCUGGAAGAGCAGCGUGUGCUCUGAAUGGCUAAACUCCCUCGACCCCAUUCAUCUCUUCAUUUUCAUGAAAACCACAGCAAUGCUCUGAUCUUUCAGGAAGAGGACUACUAGUUACCACGCCAUCAGAGCAAUUGGUUCUGAUAGACAGGAAAGUGUGAAAAUCUGUGUACUUUUAUAGCCAUCUUCUUUACUUUUAAACUGGAAUACUCUGAGUUGUUUUAUCUUCAAACUUCUAUCACAGUUCAACGUUACUUCAUUUCUAGAGUUGGCCAUGGAUAGAGUGUUGUUUUCUCAUUUGUAAAGAUUUCUCACAUGCUAAGUUAAUGCUGAAGACAAAUAUUUCCUCUUGCUUGAACAAGAGAAAUAAAGGAAUAAAAUGGAUGAAGAAUAAACUGUCAUUUUUCAGUGAGUUUUCAUAUUGAUCACGAUGAUAAUUAUAUGGCGGUUUGAAUAAGAAUGGCCCUCAUAGGCUCCUAUAUUGGAAUACUUAAAGAGUGAAAUUAUUUCAAAGGAUUAGGAGUUAUGGCCUUGUUGGAGUAGGUGUGACCUUGUUGGAGGAAGUGUAUCACUGGGGGGUGGGUUUGGGGUUUCAAAUGCUCAAGCCAGGGCCAGUGUCUCUCUGUUCCUGCUGCCUACAGAUCAAGAUGUAGAACUCUCAACUGUCUCUUCUACACUACCUGCAUGCCACCAUGCUUCCCAAUAUGAUGAUACUGGACUAAACCUCUGAAACUGUAAGCAUGCCCCAAUUAAAUGCUUUCUUUUUAUAAAAGGUGCCGUGGUCAUGUGUCCCUUCACAGCUAUAAAACUUUGACUAUGACAUUGGGAUCCAGAAGAGCUAACAGAGAAAGCAAACCUCAGUCUCUCUAAAGGAGAUGAUGUCCAUCAAUAUGCUGUCAGAAAGCCCUUAAACCAAGAAAGGAAGAAGCCCAGGACCAACAUACCCAAGACUACCUCACUCUAGGGCUAGAAACACAGGGCCAAGUGACCAUGGACUGAAGUCUCCACGCUGCACCCUAGUUGUUGUGAUGUGAGCUGUCCUGUUCCAUCACACCCUUCUUGUCAUGGUGUGAUGAACCCUCUGAAAUGAUGAGUUAAAAUAAAUAAGUCUUCCCAUUGAA